rnacentral:rRNA from 1 species
UUAAUUUAAUUGAAGAAAGAUUUAUCGCUUUGAGAUGGGCUUGCGUCCUAUCAGGUAGUUGGUAAGGUAAUAGCUUACCAAGCCUAAGACGGGUAGCUGGAGUGAGAGCUUGACCAGCCAGAGGGGGACUGAGACACGGCCCCCACUCCUACGGGAGGCAGCAGCAGGGAAUCUUGCACAAUGGGCGAAAGCCUGAUGCAGCGACGCCGCGUGAGGGAUGAAGGUUUUAGGAUCGUAAACCUCUUUUCUUAGGGAAUAGUUUGGAAGGUACCUAAGGAAUAAGUCACGGCUAACUACGUGCCAGCAGCCGCGGUAAUACGUAGGUGGCAAAUGUUGUCCGGAAUCAUUGGGCGUAAAGGGUCCGUAGGUGGCAUAAAAAGUCUUAUGUGAAAUCUCUUGGCUCAACCAAGAAACGCCAUAAGAAACUUUUAUGCUAGAGAUCAUCAGAGGGAGGUAGAAUUCCAGGUGUAGUGGUGAAAUGCGUAGAUAUCUGGAGGAAUACCAAUGGCGAAAGCAGCCUCCUGGGGUGAAUCUGACAUUGAGGGACGAAAGCGUGGGUAGCAAACCGGAUUAGAUACCCGGGUAGUCCAUGCCGUAAACGAUGAAUACUGGGUCUUCGGGGAAUCGACCCCCUGUGGACCGAAGCUAACGCGUUAAGUAUUCCGCCUGGGGAGUACGGUCGCAAGACUAAAACUCAAAGGAAUUGACGGGGGCCCGCACAAGCAGCGGAGCGUGUGGUUUAAUUCGAUGGUAAACGAAGAACCUUACCUAGGUUUGACAUAUAAGUAGUACUGACCCGAAAGGUGAUGGACCCGCAAGGGAGCUUAUACAGGUGCUGCAUGGUUGUCGUCAGCUCGUGCCGUGAGGUGUUGGGUUAAGUCCCGCAACGAGCGCAACCCUCGUGGAUAGUUGUUUUCUUUAUCCAGACUGCUUUUACAAGAGGAAGGUGGGGAUGACGUCAAAUCAUCAUGGCUCUUACACCUAGGGCUACACACACGCUACAAUGGACAGUACAGACGGUUGCUAAGUCGCAAGAUGGAGCCAAUCCGAUAAAGCUGUCCCCAAUUGGGAUUGUAGGCUGAAACUCGCCUGCAUGAACCUGGAGUUGCUAGUAACCGCAG